rnacentral:rRNA from 1 species
UUUAAAGCUUCAAACUGGGAUUAGAUACCCCACUAUUCUAAGUUAUAAAUUAAUAUACUAUAUACCUGAGUACUACGAGUCUAAAAACUUAAAACUCAAAGAGCUUGGCGGUACUUUAUACCUUUCAGGGGAACCUGUCUCGUAAUCGACAAUCCACGUUCUACCUUACCUUUUUUAGCCUUAAAUCAGUUUGUAUACCGUUGUCGUUCAGGUAACUUUUUAAAAAAUAGAAGUUGGCAAAAAAGACUUUAAUCUUAAACGUCAAAUCAAGGUGCAGCUUAUAAAGAGGAGAAGAUGGGUUACAAUUAAAAAUUAUAACUACGGAAUAAGAAUUUAAAUAUUUUUAUAAAGGAGGACUUGAAAGUAAAAACCUGUAGAUAAAGUUUUGAAUAUGGCUCUGAAGUGUGCACACACCGCCCGUCACCCUCUGCAGUCAA